rnacentral:lncRNA from 1 species
GAAAAACCAAAUUUAUUAAUAAUUAAUAAUAACAACAAAACCCCAAGUACAAGCAGUAAUUAUGUAUGUAUGGCUGGAAUACAAGAUCAAAACAAGUUAAAUAUUCAACAUAACCUCCAACUUAAGGUCAAAUUAAGUGACCAAUGCACUAAAACGCCUCAACCACAAAACUGCUAUACCUCCUCACAGUAAAGAUUACAAACACUAAAGUCUAAAACUGCAAGGGAAACUACACUGAUAUAUGUUGGAGGUUUUUUUUUUUUUUUUUUUUUUUAAAUGAAUAUUUUAGCAACAUUCACUUUAAAGUGUAUUUAAUCACUUUUUAAUUGUAUUCUAGCAAAUCACUAAAAUAUCAGUGAAUAUUUAAAGUGUAUUUAAUCACUAAAAUACACCUUUCAUAAUGGUUGUAUUCUAGCAAAUUUCAUAUCCUAAGCAUGUUAAAUUUUAAAACUUAAUGUUACAAUUCAUCGGUUAGAAUUUAUUUUUUAAUUAAUCUUAACUGAGAAAAUAAUUAGCAGUGAAGAAUUAUUUUGACUUAUAUGUCUUCAUCAUCGGCUUCAAGCUGGCAGCAUCUCAAGCUCAUUCACUGAGAAAAUAAUUAGCAGUGAAGAAUUAUUUCAAGCUGGCAGCAUCUCAAGCUCAUUCACCGGCGGAGGUGACACUGCCGCUAAACGUCGCCACUUGAUAAAGACUUCAUAGAAAACCAAGACCAAGAGGCAGAGGGCUCCUAUAACCAAAACAAAUUCCAUAACUGCGGUGGAGAUCUUGAGAAAUUUGACGAAGCUAUCCAUUUGCUCGAUUUGGGGCGCACUAGUUUUGGAAAAAAUGCUGUAGAUGGUGAAGUGAUGAAGUGGUGAUUCUAAAAUAGUGAGUUUGAGAAAAGUUGAAGAAAAAGUUUACACGGUUCUUCUUUUCCAUUUUGAUCUAUGGAAUAUUGAUUUGAAGAAAGGAAGAGUUUGUUUUGUUUUUGCCACAAAAAAAGGAAGGAAGACGAGGGAGGGAAGGAGGGAGAUCACAUCAAGUAGCAAGCAAGCAAGUAGAUGCAUCACACUAACCCUAUGUUUAGUAUCAGUAUUUUUCGUCGUGAGUUUAUAACUUAUUUUACUAACUUAUAUUUU